rnacentral:rRNA from 1 species
GGGUUGUGAGGUUAAGCGACUAAGCGUACACGGUGGAUGCCCUGGCAGUCAGAGGCGAUGAAGGACGUGCUAAUCUGCGAUAAGCGUCGGUAAGGUGAUAUGAACCGUUAUAACCGGCGAUUUCCGAAUGGGGAAACCCAGUGUGUUUCGACACACUAUCAUUAACUGAAUCCAUAGGUUAAUGAGGCGAACCGGGGGAACUGAAACAUCUAAGUACCCCGAGGAAAAGAAAUCAACCGAGAUUCCCCCAGUAGCGGCGAGCGAACGGGGAGCAGCCCAGAGCCUGAAUCAGUAUGUGUGUUAGUGGAAGCGUCUGGAAAGGCGCGCGAUACAGGGUGACAGCCCCGUACACAAAAAUGCACAUGCUGUGAGCUCGAUGAGUAGGGCGGGACACGUGGUAUCCUGUCUGAAUAUGGGGGGACCAUCCUCCAAGGCUAAAUACUCCUGACUGACCGAUAGUGAACCAGUACCGUGAGGGAAAGGCGAAAAGAACCCCGGCGAGGGGAGUGAAAAAGAACCUGAAACCGUGUACGUACAAGCAGUGGGAGCACGCUUAGGCGUGUGACUGCGUACCUUUUGUAUAAUGGGUCAGCGACUUAUAUUCUGUAGCAAGGUUAACCGAAUAGGGGAGCCGAAGGGAAACCGAGUCUUAACUGGGCGUUAAGUUGCAGGGUAUAGACCCGAAACCCGGUGAUCUAGCCAUGGGCAGGUUGAAGGUUGGGUAACACUAACUGGAGGACCGAACCGACUAAUGUUGAAAAAUUAGCGGAUGACUUGUGGCUGGGGGUGAAAGGCCAAUCAAACCGGGAGAUAGCUGGUUCUCCCCGAAAGCUAUUUAGGUAGCGCCUCGUGAAUUCAUCUCCGGGGGUAGAGCACUGUUUCGGCAAGGGGGUCAUCCCGACUUACCAACCCGAUGCAAACUGCGAAUACCGGAGAAUGUUAUCACGGGAGACACACGGCGGGUGCUAACGUCCGUCGUGAAGAGGGAAACAACCCAGACCGCCAGCUAAGGUCCCAAAGUCAUGGUUAAGUGGGAAACGAUGUGGGAAGGCCCAGACAGCCAGGAUGUUGGCUUAGAAGCAGCCAUCAUUUAAAGAAAGCGUAAUAGCUCACUGGUCGAGUCGGCCUGCGCGGAAGAUGUAACGGGGCUAAACCAUG